GACGAACCGUGCGAACGUUAUUCGGAAUCACUGGGCUUAAAGCGCGUGUAGGCGGGGCGGCACGUCGGUCGCUGAAAGCCCCCGGCUCAACCGGGGAACGGGCGCCGAUACGACCGCCCUCGAGGGACGUAGGGGGACCUGGAACUUCCGGUGGAGCGGUGAAAUGCGUUGAGAUCGGAAGGAACGCCCGUGGCGAAGGCGGCUCACUGGCCCGAUACUGACGCUGAGGCACGAAAGCGUGGGGAGCAAACAGG
rnacentral:rRNA from 1 species